rnacentral:rRNA from 1 species
UACGUAGGGGGCAAGCGUUGUCCGGAAUCAUUGGGCGUAAAGAGCGUGUAGGCGGCCCGAUAAGUCCGCUGUGAAAGUCCAGGGCUCAACCCUGGGAUGCCGGUGGAUACUGUCGGGCUCGGGUCCGGAAGAGGAGUGUGGGAAUUCCUGGUGUAGCGGUGAAAUGCGCAGAUAUCAGGAGGAACACCAAUGGCGAAGGCAGCACUCUGGGACGUGACUGACGCUGAGACGCGGAAAGCGUGGGGGAGCAAACAGG